ACUGCUAUUACUAUUCACAAAUUAUUAUUACUAUUACUGUUGCUAUUGACAUUAUUAUAUAAUAAAAAAAAAAAAAAAAAAACAAUGAAUUCGAUGAGCUAGAAAUAAGAACGAACUGAAAAUCAAACGAAUAUGAACCAAAAGUUAUACCGAGAAUAAAUUAUUCCCAAUGCCUUUGAACACCCCUCCUUCACCUAUCCCACAACGUUACACAUAACCGCCACAGUUGACUACGACUGUCGGGAAUAAAUCCUAUACCAGGAAGGAGGAACCCCUUAAAAGGGACUGUCAGCGACUGAAUCGCUCUCUAUUAGGUGAACGCCUUGAACCUAAAAAGUGGUGGUUUUUUUAAUCUGUCGAUUCCUUUUUUCCUUAAAAGUAGUGAACGCCUGUGAACGCGUGUUUCAAUUUGCCCGGUAGUGCUACGAAGAGUGUCCUGGAGGAUUUCGUUCAUCCUGUGCUUCCUGCAUCGGAUUCGUCCGGUAGAAGAAGAACGGUAGAAGAAGAAGUGCAAGGAACCGGCGGAUCUUGGAGAGUGAGUGCUAUAAUCUCGGAAGACUUAAAGCCCCGGUGCGCCUUCCAUCCGACAGAGGGACGAUUACCACCAUCCCGUUCGACUUCAGAGGAGCCGUUUUCGCCACUCCACUGGCGGAGCAUAGAAGGAUCCACCGUGAUCGCCCACGCCGGUCCAGGUUUGAAGAGGAUCGAGAUGAUGCGUCGAAGGUUAUGCCACGGGACCCGCCCGCUUCGCGACACGAUGCCACCCGGUGCAAUCCAGCACGGACAACAAUGAAGCUAUUAUUCUUCAGAGGUAGUAAACAAAUCGUGCUACCAUCAAAUUCAACCAAAAACUUUUUUUUCAAGUGGGCAGAAAUGCACCGGACCAAGUGGCCAGAAAUGUACCGAAGACUGCUAUUGCUAAUUGAUGUUAUGAUUUGGAUUCAAAUGUGGCACCGCAAACUUCCGGUAGGAGAGCAUAGCAAGCAUACGGAAAGACGGAAUUACCUCAAAAUAAAUCCAAAAAUGUGUACGGGAGGAAGAA